AACGUACAUUGCGCCCCCUGGCAUUCCGGGGGGCAUGCCUGUCCGAGCGUCAUUGCUGCCCAUCAAGCCCGGCUUGUGUGUUGGGUCGUCGUCCCCCCCGGGGGCCGGGCCCGAAAGGCAGCGGCGGCACCGUGUCCGGUCCUCGAGGGUAUGGGGCUUUGUCGCCCGCUCGAGUAGGGCCGGGCGGGCGCCAGCGGGCGUCUCCAACCAUUUUUCUUCAGGUUGACCUCGGAGCAGGUAGGGAUACCCGCUGAACU
rnacentral:misc_RNA from 1 species